AGAGAGCACAGGCAAAAUGAACGGGGCUCUUCAGAGAGUGGAAGUUUCUGGAAGAUGGAGCUGGAGGGGCUCCGGACACCAUCUAGCCUGAGCUCCUCUCUGAACAGGAAACUUCUCAUCUUUGUGGAAUACCGGUGUCCUUCGCUGUGAAAGUGAAUCCAGUGAAAACUACUCCAUCGUGUUAAGUCCAGGAUGCUCCAGAUGAUUCUGACAUGGUUUCUCAGCACAUACAGAUCCAGAGAGAUGGGCUAUCACUCAGAACUUGAAGAAUUUGCCCUUGCUGUUUCCUGGGCAUGGAGGGAAGCCCUGGCAGCUGCAGUAGUAGCGUCACAUCUUUCUGUGGAGGUGAACCCCACCCAUAGGGAGCCCCUCACCCGGAGAGCCCGUGCUUCCUUGCCGGAGUUAGAAGCUCCUCUGUGCUAACUCAAUGGCUUGCUACAUUAACUCAGCUUUAU